AUUGAACGCUGGCGGCAUGCUUUACACAUGCAAGUCGAACGGUAACAGGUUAAGCUGACGAGUGGCGAACGGGUGAGUAAUGCAUCGGAACGUGCCCAGUCGUGGGGGAUAACGCAGCGAAAGCUGUGCUAAUACCGCAUACGAUCUAUGGAUGAAAGCGGGGGACCGUAAGGCCUCGCGCGAUUGGAGCGGCCGAUGUCAGAUUAGCUAGUUGGUGGGGUAAAGGCCCACCAAGGCGACGAUCUGUAGCUGGUCUGAGAGGACGACCAGCCACACUGGGACUGAGACACGGUCCAGACUCCUACGGGAGGCAGCAGUGGGGAAUUUUGGACAAUGGGGGCAACCCUGAUCCAGCCAUGCCGCGUGAGUGAAGAAGGCC
rnacentral:rRNA from 1 species